rnacentral:lncRNA from 1 species
UGUCUCAGAUAACCUUCCCCUGACUUUGUGACUGAGCUUCCAGAAACAUGUCAGGGAGUUUCUAGGAAGGAGGCCAGAAAUCAUGCAGUUAGCAAGGGAGAUCCAGCUGUGCCCACCUCAGCCUGAGAGUUUUAUUCACUUCUUCUGCAGGGAUCAUUUUCAGCCGUUCAAAAAGUUUCCUACUGUUUCACCUCGAUGGGGACUUUACUUGCUUUUCUGUGCAGGUUCUCUAUUAGUUAACAUGUUCCUCUACCCCAUUUAACUUUUGAAGUGUGGGGCCUCUGAAUGAGAAAAUGGAUUGCGUCUUCCAAUAUCAAAAUGGAGUCCUACUCAUGAUAAGUAGUUUAACACUUUUCUGAGAGUAUUGAGUUGCUUUAGGAAGACCAAGUGAUUGGGUUUCAAGAGAGAUACCAAGUUAAAGGAAUUCACAUCAUUAUAUCUCCCAGAGGACAAAGCCUAGAACUUUCUACAUUCAAGUCAGUGAAUAUUGGGGAGUGGGGAAUCCAUGAAUUCAUUAUGUGGAGGCAAUUUUAAUUCAGAAGAUGGAAACCAGCAUAAUAUAGAUCUGUCGUGGCUUCAGCAUCAGGAAACAACACACUGAUCAUGACAUCAAACUCCAGAGGAAGCCGGCUAAGGAUGUGCUUGUUUUGAUGUGACAUGUGCCUGCGAUGAUUAACUCUCAUGCUCCCACAAUCUCUCCAGGGCCCCAGACUUGGUCCUUCCUCGCCUGUAAACAGGAUCAGGAUGCAUCCUGGAGUUCAGCCAAGGGCAUCUGGCCUUGGGUAAGACAGACUCCACAAAACACAUACAUUGUUCCUGGCAAGGGAACCACGAGGGAAGGAAAAGGAGAGAAGGAAGGCAGCAUGGGACACUGACAUCCAUCCACGUAUGACAAAUCACAUCAGAUGCAACUGAGCACAUGCAACUCAGAGGGAAAAGACAGGAAUAGGCCCAUGGAACACAUUCACCUUCUACAUGAUCAACAGCUUCGGGAAAGCAAUACAGCCAAGUGCCAAGUGAGAAAAAGGGAAAAGCAUGUAAAAUGAAUGAAAUGUUGACUGCAAUGGAAGACAUUUUAGACUGUUCUUGUUACAUAACAAAGAG